ensembl:lncRNA LINC00293 long intergenic non-protein coding RNA 293
GUCCUUCCCACAGAGAGCGGUUUGAUAUGUCACUGAAACCAGCAUCCAGGUGGUAUUGCUCCAUAUGCCUGAGACCCUAACAAAAGCCUAAUUACAACUCAUAUGCCUGGAGCCAGGACAUGUGCAGGAUGACUCUGCCAAGAGAGGGGAUUAUUACAUAUUGCAGAGCCCAGCACCUAGGUGGAGUGACUCUCAUCUUUUUCUUCUACCCCGUAUAUAGCCAGCUUGGUGACCUACUAUUUGAGUCUAUACCCAGGCCCAGACCACAGAUGAAAUUGUGCAAUAUGUGGAACAAACACCUAAACAAUAUAUAACACCUUCCUUGGCUCUGUCUACAAAGGGCACUUUUAUAUAUCACUGGGACCAUCAACCAGGUGAUGUUGUGCCAUAUAACUGAGACCGUAUCAAAAGCCUAAUAACAAGACGUAUGUCUGGAGCCCCGAUAUGCACAGGAUGGUGAUAUAACCCUCUUCUCUGGAAUGGGCCCCACACAAAGGAAGGAUAGUGACAUAUUGCAAGCCCAGGCACACAGGCCCAGAGCACAGUUGAAAUUGUGACAUAUGUACACCAAGCAACCAAGCAAUGUAUAACACCUCAUUUGGCAAUGGAAUCGAGGGCACUUUUACAUAUCACUGAGACCAGCGCCCAGCUGAUGUGAAAUAUUGGCCUGAACCCUGCCUACAAAAGCAUUGUGGCUUUUAUCUAGCUCCAUUACAUAAGUGAUGUGACUUCCUUCUACUGCCUUGGCCCUGCACUUAUGGUGAAUCGUGACACAAAAUUGGGUAGAGCAACCAGCCUGGGCCCUGACCAGCACAGAGAUUGAGGCAUAUUGCUGAACCCAGGACCAAGAUGAAGUCACUCUCCUGCCUUGAUCCUGCACACAGGGACCCUUGUGACAUAUAUACAGGCCAAUUGCCUAGGAACAUUGUGACAUCGCUGGAUGUAGCAUCUACGAAAUGUGACUCUCCUCUCCUGCUUAGGUCCUGCCCACAAAAGGAAUUGUGACAUAUCACUGAGUGCAAAACCUAGUAAAUGCAACUCUCCUCU